rnacentral:rRNA from 1 species
UGAGGAAUAUUGGGCAAUGCCCGCAAGGGUGACCCAGCAACGCCGCGUGGAGGAUGAAUGUCGUAAGAUUGUAAACUCCUGUUAGAGGGGAAGAAUAGUACCGGUUGGACCGGAAUAUGACUGUACCCUCAGAGAAAGCCCCGGCUAACUACGUGCCAGCAGCCGCGGUAAUGCGUAGGGGGCAAGCGUUGUCCGGCUUUACUGGGUGGAAAGGGCGCGCAGGCGGGAUAAAAAGUCAGUGGUGAAAUCCUACAGCUUAACUGUAGAACUGCCUUUGAUACUUUUAUUCUUGAGUUCGGGAGAGAGAGACGGAAUUCCAGGUGUAGUGGUGAAAUACGUAGAUAUCUGGAAGAACACCAGUUGCGAAGGCGGUCUCUUGGUCCGACACUGACGCUGAGGCGCGAAAGCGUGGGGAGCAAACA